AGGUCAUUUUGACGACAAUUUAUUAGUAACCCUUUAUAACGCUCCCAUGCCUAAUAAAGUGAUUCACUCGGAUUUUUGCUCAAAGUUGGCUAUUGCCUUCUUGAGUUA